UACGCAGGGGGCUAGCGUUAUCCGGAAUUACUGGGCGUAAAGGGUGCGUAGGUGGUUUCUUAAGUCAGAGGUGAAAGGCUACGGCUCAACCGUAGUAAGCCUUUGAAACUGGGAAACUUGAGUGCAGGAGAGGAGAGUGGAAUUCCUAGUGUAGCGGUGAAAUGCGUAGAUAUUAGGAGGAACGCCAGUUGCGAAGGCGGCUCUCUGGACUGUAACUGACACUGAGGCACGAAAGCGUGGGGAGCAAACAGG
rnacentral:rRNA from 1 species